rnacentral:rRNA from 1 species
GUGUCAGCAGCCGCGGUAAUACGUAGGCAGCGAGCGUUGUUCGGAGUUACUGGGCGUAAAGGGUGCGUAGGCGGCCGAUUAAGUUUGUCGUGAAAUCUCCCGGCUUAACUGGGAGGGUGCGGCGAAUACUGACCGGCUCGAGUGUGGGAGAGGAGAGUGGAAUUCCUGGUGUAGCGGUGAAAUGCGUAGAUAUCAGGAGGAACACCGGCGGUGUAGACGGCUCUCUGGACCAUAACUGACGCUGAGGCACGAAAGCGUGGGUAGCAAACAGGAUUAGAAACCCCGGUAGUCC